rnacentral:rRNA from 1 species
AACGAACGUUAGCGGCGCGCCUAACACAUGCAAGUCGAGCGAGAAAGGGCUUCGGCCCCGGUAAAGCGGCGCACGGGUGAGUAACACGUGGAUAACCUACCCCUUGGUGGUGGAUAACCUUCCGAAAGGAGGGCUAAUACAGCGUAAGACCACGACUUCGAAAGAGGUUGGGGUAAAAGUGGGCCUCUGUACACAAGCUCACGCCAGGGGGAUGGGUCCGCGGCCCAUCAGCUAGUUGGUAGGGUAACGGCCUACCAAGGCGAAGACGGGUAGCUGGUCUGAGAGGAUGAUCAGCCACACUGGAACUGAGACACGGUCCAGACUCCUACGGGAGGCAGCAGUGGGGAAUCUUGCGCAAUGGGCGCAAGCCUGAUCCAGCAAUGCCGCGUGCAGGAAGAAGGCCUUCGGUUGUAACUAGCUUUGUCUAGGGAA